AGCAUAGCAACAGCAGCGUAGCUGAACAUCUUACGGAUGGCCCAGGGCUCCAAAGGCUCGUUUCCUAAGUGAGAGAGAGCCUGGCUGAAGCUGUAUUACCAUUCAUUCUCCAGCCUCCGAAGUCUCAAAGCAUCACUUCCACCAUACUCUAACUGUCAAGACAAACACAAAGGCCCAGAAAGAAGAAUACACUAUCGAUGUUCCUUUUAAACAAGUAUUUGAGUAAAAGCGAUGUUUCCAAUGUGUGUCAGAAAGUGAAUACUUGUAUAUUUCCGCACGGUUAGAGCUGAGCUUUCCGAGCAAAUUUUACUGGGACCCGGUUGAAAGACAGGUCUUGGAAGUGAAAUGAUGACUGACUAGAUGACAUUACAUGUAAAUGGAAUCAUACAAUAUGUGAUCUUUUGUGACUGGCUUCUUUCACUUAGCAUAACGUUUUCAAGGUUUGUUCGUGUUGUAGCAGAAACUGCCAGACUGUCUUCUGAAGUGGCUAUAAUAUUUACACUCCCAUCAGCAGUGUCUGAGUUUGCAGAGUAAACCACUACCCUGAAAUCUGGAAAGGCAGGUGCACCCACAGAUCCUCAGCUGAGAUCCAAUUACCUGAAAUAGAAGCUGCCAUUAGGAACACUUAAAAGAGCCUGUUCUGCUGGGACACAGAAUCACUUGCUCCAUCUCAUACAUUGAUGAUGAUUAAUUUGUAUGUGUACCUUCCAAAAA
rnacentral:lncRNA from 10 species